CUCUCAUGCACUGCGAAGUAGUUGCCGUGCGUGAAACAACUCGGUCAGGGAACGAACGUUUUCACAAGUGAACUUGACGCUUUUUGGAUUCAUCAAUGAGCUCGUCCAGGCACUUGUAGCUGCUUGGAGUGAAGACGGGACUGGGAGACCGCUACCAGGAAAACGACCAGUUUUUUCUUUCAGUCUGGAUUCAACAUGAAAUUCUGGAUUUGUGUACUCGCUGUCAGCUGGGCAGUUGAAGCGACACACGGGG